GACGAACGCUGGCGGCGUGCUUAACACAUGCAAGUCGAACGGAAGGGCCCUGCUUUUGUGGGGUGCUCGUUUGGCGAACGCGUGAGUAACACGUGAGGAUCCUGCCCUUGUCUUUGUGGUAACUUCAGGGGACUGGGGCUAAUACCGGGUAUGAUCUCCUGCUGCAUGGGGUGGGUUAGAAAGUUUCGGCGGUUGGGGCUGGACUCGCGGCUUAUCAGCUGGUUUGUCUGGUAGUGGCUUACCAGGGCUUUGAAGGGUAGCCUGCCUGGGAGGGUGAACGGCCACAAUGGGACUGAGAGACGCACCAGAAGCGUACGGGAGGCAGUAGUCGGGAACAUGGCACAAUGGGGGGAAGCCUGAUGCAGAGACGCUGCGUGCGUGAUGCCGGCUUUCGGGUUGUAAACAGAUUUGGCCGGUGACGAAGCGUGAGUGACGGUACUGGGUAAAGAAGCACCGGCUAACUACGUG
rnacentral:rRNA from 1 species